GGGACACGUGGUAUCCUGUCUGAAUAUGGGGGGACCAUCCUCCAAGGCUAAAUACUCCUGACUGACCGAUAGUGAACCAGUACCGUGAGGGAAAGGCGAAAAGAACCCCGGCGAGGGGAGUGAAAAAGAACCUGAAACCGUGUACGUACAAGCAGUGGGAGCACCCUUUGGGGUGUGACUGCGUACCUUUUGUAUAAUGGGUCAGCGACUUAUAUUCUGUAGCAAGGUUAACCGAAUAGGGGAGCCGUAGGGAAACCGAGUCUUAACCGGGCGUUAAGUUGCAGGGUAUAGACCCGAAACCCGGUGAUCUAGCCAUGGGCAGGUUGAAGGUUGGGUAACACUAACUGGAGGACCGAACCGACUAAUGUUGAAAAAUUAGCGGAUGACCUGUGGCUGGGGGUGAAAGGCCAAUCAAACCGGGAGAUAGCUGGUUCUCCCCGAAAGCUAUUUAGGUAGCGCCUCGUGAAUUCAUCUCCGGGGGUAGAGCACUGUUUCGGCUAGGGGGCCAUCCCGGCUUACCAA
rnacentral:rRNA from 1 species